CUACGGAGGGUGCAAGCGUUAAUCGGAAUUACUGGGCGUAAAGCGUACGUAGGCGGUUAGUUAAGUUAGAUGUGAAAGCCCCGGGCUUAACCUGGGAACUGCAUUUAAAACUGGCUAACUAGAGUUAAGUAGAGGGGAGUGGAAUUUCAGGUGUAGCGGUGAAAUGCGUAGAGAUCUGAAGGAACACCAGUGGCGAAGGCGACUCCCUGGACUUCAACUGACGCUGAGGUACGAAAGCGUGGGUAGCAAACGGGAUUAGAAACCCUAGUAGUCC
rnacentral:rRNA from 1 species